rnacentral:rRNA from 1 species
AAUGAACGUUGGCGGCGUGGAUUAGGCAUGCAAGUCGAGCGAGAAGGUUUAAAAAGAUACUUCGGUUGAUUUUUGAACUGGACAGCGGCGAAAGGGAGAGUAACGAGUAGAUAACGUACCCAGGGGUUCGGGAUAGCCAUGCGAAAGCGUGAGUAAUACCGAAUAAUGUCUUCGGACCACAGAUUUAUUGCCCUUGGAGCGGUCUGCUUACUAUUAGGUUGUUGGUGGGGUAACGGCCUACCAAGACUAAGAUGGUUAGCGGGUGUGAGAGCAUGGCCCGUCUCACUGGGACUGAGACACUGCCCAGACACCUACGGGUGGCUGCAGGCGAGAAUCUUCCGCAAUGGACGAAAGUCUGACGGAGCGACGCCGCGUGAUGGACGAAGGCCCUCGGGUUGUAAACAUCUGUCGUAGGGGAGGAAAUUUUGACCGAUCCUAGGAGGAAGCGCAGGCUAAGUUCGUGCCAGCAGCCGCCGUAAAAC